rnacentral:rRNA from 1 species
AGCAGCCGCGGUAAUUCCAGCUCCAAUAGCGUAUAUUAAAGUUGUUGCAGUUAAAAAGCUCGUAGUUGAAUUUCGGGAUCAAGGAAUCGGUCAUGCCUUGGUAUGUACUGGUUUUAUUGGUUCUCACCUUCUAAAGAACCAUAAUGUCAUUCAUUUGAUGUUAUGGGGAAUUAGGACUGUUACCUUGAAAAAUUAGAGUGUUUAAAGCAAGCUAACGCUUGAAUACAUUAGCAUGGAAUAAUGAAAUAGGACGUUCGAUCCUAUUUUGUUGGUUUCUAGGAUUGACGUAAUGAUUAAUAGGGAUAGUUGGGGGCAUUAGUAUUCAAUUGUCAGAGGUGAAAUUCUUGGAUUUAUUGAAGACUAACUACUGCGAAAGCAUUUGCCAAGGAUGUUUUCAUUAAUCAAGAACGAAAGUUAGGGGAUCGAAGACGAUCAGAUACCGUCGUAGUCUUAACCAUAAACUAUGCCGACUAGGGAUCGGAUGAUGUAAUUUUUUAAUGACUCA